rnacentral:rRNA from 3 species
UAAGGUCACGGCGAGACGAGCCGUUUAUCAUUACGAUAGGUGUCAAGUGGAAGUGCAGUGAUGUAUGCAGCUGAGGCAUCCUAACAGACCGAGAGAUUUGAA